rnacentral:rRNA from 1 species
GGGGAGUGAAAUAGAACCUGAAACCGUGUGCUUACAAGUAGUCAGAGCCCGUUAAUGGGUGAUGGCGUGCCUUUUGUAGAAUGAACCGGCGAGUUACGAUUUGAUGCAAGGUUAAGCAGUAAAUGUGGAGCCGUAGCGAAAGCGAGUCUGAAUAGGGCGUUUAGUAUUUGGUCGUAGACCCGAAACCAGGUGAUCUACCCUUGGUCAGGUUGAAGUUCAGGUAACACUGAAUGGAGGACCGAACCGACUUACGUUGAAAAGUGAGCGGAUGAACUGAGGGUAGCGGAGAAAUUCCAAUCGAACCUGGAGAUAGCUGGUUCUCUCCGAAAUAGCUUUAGGGCUAGCCUCAAGUGAUGAUUAUUGGAGGUAGAGCACUGUUUGGACGAGGGGCCCCUCUCGGGUUACCGAAUUCAGACAAACUCCGAAUGCCAAUUAAUUUAACUUGGGAGUCAGAACAUGGGUGAUAAGGUCCGUGUUCGAAAGGGAAACAGCCCAGACCACCAGCUAAGGUCCCAAAAUAUAUGUUAAGUGGAAAAGGAUGUGGCGUUGCCCAGACAACUAGGAUGUUGGCUUAGAAGCAGCCAUCAUUUAAAGAGUGCGUAAUAGCUCACUAGUCGAGUGACACUGCGCCGAAAAUGUACCGGGGCUAAACAUAUUACCGAAGCUGUGGAUUGUCCUUUGGACAAUGGUAGGAGAGCGUUCUAAGGGCGUUGAAGCAUGAUCGUAAGGACAUGUGGAGCGCUUAGAAGUGAGAAUGCCGGUGUGAGUAGCGAAAGACGGGUGAGAAUCCCGUCCACCGAUUGACUAAGGUUUCCAGAGGAAGGCUCGUCCGCUCUGGGUUAGUCGGGUCCUAAGCUGAGGCCGACAGGCGUAGGCGAUGGAUAACAGGUUGAUAUUCCUGUACCACCUAUAAUCGUUUUAAUCGAUGGGGGGACGCAGUAGGAUAGGCGAAGCGUGCGAUUGGAUUGCACGUCUAAGCAGUAAGGCUGAGUAUUAGGCAAAUCCGGUACUCGUUAAGGCUGAGC